UGAAAUUAUACCUAAUGAGCAAGGUAGAGAUGACGUUGGAAAGGAAAAACUCGGUGAGAUGAUAUGAGGAAGAAACCUCGAGAGGAACAAGACUCAAAAGGGAACCCAUCCUUUAUAACCCCCUUCUAGAGCUGUGUACUAUAUGGUCAAAUAAUGCAAUUGUGUAAACAGGAAAUUCGUUAUAGUUUUCACACAAAGUCUGUUUUGUUGAACUUCUCCACUGUUCACUGAUGGAGACUUGAGUGCAAAACUGUUCAUAUGAAUUGUGGUCCAAAGCCAUCUUCGUGGUUUUUAAGUGGUACCAUCCUCAGUAAUCUCCAUGACCUUCAGUGAAGUUAUCUAUAUUUAUCUAAGGCUCAAACAGAGAUUUAAAUUGUUGUUGGAAAUAUUCCAAAAGGAAUACUAAUAUUAAUCAUUUUAUAGCAAUUGGAAAAUACUGAAAAAGUUUUGCUAAAGCUAACAAAACUUACUAUACACUCCAACAGAUACUUGUAAAUUUCCAUGUCACCAAGGCGGUACCCUCAAAGGCACAUCUUUUAUGCCUGCAAUAUGUAUCUUUCAUCUCAAAAGAUGGAGAUAGUGUACCUAUAGUGUACCUUUAAAAAUGAUUUAAGGUCCAUACGUACCCUUUCUUUCUGAUGCAUGAUCAGUUCCACACUCUCACCACUCUCGGGUUUAAUCGAUUAAUUCGGUUCGCUUCAACAGGCUGUAUUGGCAUGAUCAUAUACAUGUACGGUAUUGCCAACGCAUUACGGGAAUGUCGAACUGUUAAUAAUAAACAUUAGUUUAUUGAUUUUAUAAAGCACAUUUAAAACAACGGAUGUUGAAACCGAAGUGCUGUACGAGAAAUAUAAAACCGAAUUAAAAGAGUAAACAAAAACCAAAGAAAAGACCAAUGAAAAAUUGACAUCCUCGAUUAAAACAUAAAGAAUACGAGUGAGUUUUCAAACGGGAUUUAAACACGGAAACGGAAGGGGAAGAUCUAAUGUGGAGAGGAAGACUAUUCCAAAGCCUAGGAGCAGCCACCGAGAAAGCCCGGUCACUUUUAGCCUUAAAACAUGAACGAGGAACUGAGAGUGGUAGUAGUGUGUUAGUAGCAUUAGUGUUGUUUUCGUAGAAGAUUGUUAUCAGAAUCUGAAUAAACAUAUUGUAUUAGUGUCCAUUUGUUGUAGUGGGUGGGUUACUCACUGUCCCUCAGGUUGUGGCAGGCACACAGGCUAAAAUGCACCUCUCCUUUAUUUCUCCUAACGGUACGGGCAGUUUGUCAGUGUUUGGCGGAAGGAUGAACUGGGGAUGUGUGAUGUGAUGUUUUUUUAAAAUAUAAUUCACGCAAGUGUUUGAAGUUGUUACACUCGGUUAGAAAGUGCAGCUCUGUCUCCACUGUGUUGCUGUUGCACUGUGUGCGCACUCUGCUCUUUAGGGAGCCGCGAUUACUUCUAGCGGCCGUCUCGACGGCCAGUGUGUGUGCCGAGUCUGGACUGUGUCAGCGUGGUUCUGCGUCGGUGUGCGGUCACUGUGCUCAGGUAGUCCGCUACAGUGUACUGUGCGUUUCGGGCCAGACAGCACUGCAUUUUACUUUGUGCUUGUGUGUUCGUAGGGGUGGAUGUAGUUUUGUUUCUGUAGUGUUAUAAUUUGGUGAGGUCUGAUGGGUCUGAUUUGUUCUUGUGUCCGGCUGCUCCUGGGGUAGAACCGUGUUAGCGUGUGUUAAUGAGCUGAGGUUCAGGACUAGCCGGGCGAGGAGAAUCGUCUUUGUGAGCGGCCCCCAGACCUCACUACCGUACAGCAGAAUCGAUUUGAAUUGGGAUUUGGGAAUGAAUUUGUUGUGUAGAAUUUUACUUGCGCCUGCUCUGUCAGCUCAUUCGCCGCUGGACUGAAAUUUCCAGUGGUAUUAAUUUUCAAUCCGAAGUAUUUGUAUUCUUUGCAAUUUCUAUUCUGUGCGUCCCUAAAGUGAAGUUAAUCACUACUUGUGGCGAAGUCUCUGUGAAGUGAGCUGCUCUAAUGGCUUUGACGUUAAAUAGUACAAUAUCCUUUCCAAACCAAAAGUAGAAUCUGUUAAAGCCUCUAGGGUUAUACAUUACUCCCACAUAUGAUUGGUAGUGUUUUGGCUUCUAGACUGGUGGACAUGCUGGAUGCUGCUGAAAAAUACUUUGAGGAGUCCUGGGAUUGACACCAGCUCUGUGUGUUGGUGCAAAAAGGGUAUUGGAAAGGCCAAAAGUAAACCUGGAGAAGUAUUAACAUUAGCUUCUGAAGUAAGAAAUUUGGUGAGGAGAUAAGUGAUAUGAUUUGAUUAUAUAAUGCAGAUAUUUUAGUUUUUAAGGUGCAUGUACAGGACUCCUGGACAAGGAGACAUCUGCUUGAGCUUCCAGACAUCUGUAGAAAACCUCCCAUCUGCUGGUAUAUGCACCGGACUGUUCAUGUGGACCGAAUAAAAAUGGAAUCUCUGUCAACUACACACCCACACCUCCUGACUCUUCUCUGCACUCAAGAAAUAAUUUACUGUCUGUUUCGUUUUGCACAGGAACCCACAAGCUGUAGGUAGUUUCCUCCAACCUGCCAACAAACACGACUGCAGGUGGAUCGGCUGUGUGUGUGAAUCUUCGUGCAUGGUGUUGUGCGAUGGACUGGCAUCCCAUCCCACCUUCGACCCACUGUGAUCGGCUCGGGAUCCACCGUGACGCUGCCCAGGAUUAAACGUCUACUGAAGAUGAAGGAACAAAUCAUUUGUGUACACGUAAUGAUUUUGGAUUGUAUUAUAUACAGGUGCAUCUAAAAAAACAAAACAAAAACAGAAUAUUGUGGAAAAGUUCGUUUUGUUCCUUAAUUUAAUUUAAUUAAAAAGUGGAACUUUCAUAUAUUCUGGAUUCAUUACACAUAAAGUGAAAUAUUUAAAGCCCUUUUUUGUUUGUUUUAAUCUUGAUGAUUAUGGCUCACAG
ensembl:lncRNA